AUAAAGAUAGUGAUGAGGAAGAGUAUAUAAAUUAAGUCUUUUAGAGAGCUAGGGGGAGGUGGAACCUAGUAGAUUAGUUUAUAGAAAGCAGCCUUUGAAUCGCGUAUUGAGAACUAAGAUUAAAUCUUAAUGUAGAUACAGACGUGUCCCUUACGUUAUAAAGGAGAGGAUAAGAAAUUAUCCUUACUGAGUGAGUAAAAAUAUUUUACUUAUUAGGGUGGUACCGCGAAUUUUAGCUUCGUCCCUUAU
rnacentral:ncRNA from 1 species